GGAGGGAUGCCGGAGUGGUUGAACGGGGCGGUCUCGAAAACCGUUGUGCCCUUCACGGGCACCCAGGGUUCGAAUCCCUGUCCCUCCGCCA
rnacentral:tRNA from 1 species